CUUCCUUGAAAAGAAAGUGGAUUAAAGAGCUAGAUGAGAUAUAUGCCAAAUAUGAAUCUGAGAGAAAAGCUAUGAUUUCAGCAUUAUUGAGAAAGUCCACCACAAAACUGGAGAAAAUCAGUUAUUUGAUGCCAUGUGAUGUCCACAGACUGAUUGACAGUGAAGCAAUGAUGAUAAACCAAGCUCUGCUAGCAAAUCGACGUGCUUUGGCCAAACUGUGCUUGAAUUUGAUGGAGAAACAUUUGCAGAUGGACAUUUUCCAAAGGCUGAGAUGGGAGGAAAAGCUCCAAGAUUGGAAACAAAUAAAACUUAAUGACGCAGUUACCCGGUUCAGGUAGGUCUGAUGUUACAAAAUUGUGAAAAUUCCCUUGACAGAAAAAGAAUGC
rnacentral:lncRNA from 1 species